GAGGGGGGGGGUUAGAGGCUUUUCAUGGCAAUAUUGGGAGGCUGACAUUAAAGUGGUAUGUAACAAGACAUAACGAUAGAAGUGAGACAAUUAGCAAAGCAAUGAUAGUAGUGGUAUCUAGGGAAAUGAUCAUCUUGCGUGAGUUCCCGCUUGGAAGAAGAACGGAUCUGUGAAAUAGAUGAACUACGUAGUCGAACAAAUCCUUACAGUCCGAAGCAUUUACGGAACUCUAUCAAGAAAAAGCAAUCCAGAAACAACAAUCAACACAUGAUAAACACCAAAACAUACGCAUGGUAUGAGGCGCAAACUAAUAUGAUGCAUGUCCAUUUAAUCAUGCAAGGCAUGUCAAAGCACAACACUCAACUUCCGCACAUUAAGUGAAGCUCAAUAUGCAACGAGUUGCAUAUUAAUGAAAUUCCACAUUUUAUUUACUUAGUUCAUUCCCCGUUUAGGCAUACGACAAUAUUGAGUAUCAUUAACAUGACAAGAGUUGAAGCAUAAAUAAACUACACUAUCUAAGCAUUUAUAUGUGGUCAGAAACAACUUAUAGUAUUUUCGAAACGACCACAUAUGUUAAUUUCGAAAUUGGUCCGGAUCUGGACUAAUCAUAUUAUAUAUAUAUAUUAAACAACAAAAUAAAGUACACCAUGUGAUUCUACAUGUUGUUCGAGUCGAUUUACAUAUAUGGAUCAUCGAAAGAGGAGUUACGGUCUAGAAGAUAUGACCAACACAAGAUGAAUAUGCCAUGAAUGCAAACUGCAUGCAAAUGACACCCACAACCAUUUUAAAUCACGGAUGCAACAUGAUAUUAUGGAAC
rnacentral:lncRNA from 1 species